rnacentral:rRNA from 1 species
UACGUAGGGUGCGAGCGUUAAUCGGAAUUACUGGGCGUAAAGCGCGCGCAGGCGGCUAUCCAAGUCAGUGGUGAAAGCCCGGAGCUCAACUCCGGAACUGCCAUUGAAACUGUUUAGCUUGAGUAUGAGAGAGGUGAGUGGAAUUCCCAGUGUAGAGGUGAAAUUCGUAGAUAUUGGGAAGAACACCGGUGGCGAAGGCGGCUCACUGGCUCAUUACUGACGCUCAGGCGCGACAGCGUGGGGAUCAAACAGG